rnacentral:rRNA from 1 species
GGGUUGUGAGGUUAAGCGACUAAGCGUACACGGUGGAUGCCUAGGCAGUCAGAGGCGAUGAAGGGCGUGCUAAUCUGCGAAAAGCGUCGGUAAGCUGAUAUGAAGCGUUAUAACCGACGAUACCCGAAUGGGGAAACCCAGUGCAAUACGUUGCACUAUCGUUAGAUGAAUACAUAGUCUAACGAGGCGAACCGGGGGAACUGAAACAUCUAAGUACCCCGAGGAAAAGAAAUCAACCGAGAUUCCCCCAGUAGCGGCGAGCGAACGGGGAGGAGCCCAGAGUCUGAAUCAGUUUGUGUGUUAGUGGAAGCGUCUGGAAAGUCGCACGGUACAGGGUGAUAGUCCCGUACACCAAAAUGCACAGGCUGUGAACUCGAUGAGUAGGGCGGGACACGUGACAUCCUGUCUGAAUAUGGGGGGACCAUCCUCCAAGGCUAAAUACUCCUGACUGACCGAUAGUGAACCAGUACCGUGAGGGAAAGGCGAAAAGAACCCCGGCGAGGGGAGUGAAAUAGAACCUGAAACCGUGUACGUACAAGCAGUGGGAGCACCUUCGUGGUGUGACUGCGUACCUUUUGUAUAAUGGGUCAGCGACUUAUAUUUUGUAGCAAGGUUAACCGAAUAGGGGAGCCGUAGGGAAACCGAGUCUUAACUGGGCGUCUAGUUGCAAGGUAUAGACCCGAAACCCGGUGAUCUAGCCAUGGGCAGGUUGAAGGUUGGGUAACACUAACUGGAGGACCGAACCGACUAAUGUUGAAAAAUUAGCGGAUGACUUGUGGCUGGGGGUGAAAGGCCAAUCAAACCGGGAGAUAGCUGGUUCUCCCCGAAAGCUAUUUAGGUAGCGCCUCGUGAACUCAUCUUCGGGGGUAGAGCACUGUUUCGGCUAGGGGGCCAUCCCGGCUUACCAAACCGAUGCAAACUCCGAAUACCGAAGAAUGUUAUCACGGGAGACACACGGCGGGUGCUAACGUCCGUCGUGAAGAGGGAAACAACCCAGACCGCCAGCUAAGGUCCCAAAGUCAUGGUUAAGUGGGAAACGAUGUGGGAAGGCACAGACAGCCAGGAUGUUGGCUUAGAAGCAGCCAUCAUUUAAAGAAAGCGUAAUAGCUCACUGGUCGAGUCGGCCUGCGCGGAAGAUGUAACGGGGCUAAACCAUGCACCGAAGCUGCGGCAGCGACACUUAGGUGUUGUUGGGUAGGGGAGCGUUCUGUAAGCCGUUGAAGGUGACCUGUGAGGGUUGCUGGAGGUAUCAGAAGUGCGAAUGCUGACAUAAGUAACGAUAAUGCGGGUGAAAAACCCGCACGCCGGAAGACCAAGGGUUCCUGUCCAACGUUAAUCGGGGCAGGGUGAGUCGACCCCUAAGGCGAGGCUGAAAAGCGUAGUCGAUGGGAAACAGGUUAAUAUUCCUGUACUUGGUGUUACUGCGAAGGGGGGACGGAGAAGGCUAGGCUGGCCGGGCGACGGUUGUCCCGGUUUAAGCGUGUAGGGGGAGUGACCAGGUAAAUCCGGUUGCUUAUCAACCCUGAGGCGUGAUGACGAUGCACUACGGUGCAGAAGCAGUUGAUGCCAUGCUUCCAGGAAAAGCCUCUAAGCAUCAGGUAACAUUAAAUCGUACCCCAAACCGACACAGGUGGUCAGGUAGAGAAUACUCAGGCGCUUGAGAGAACUCGGGUGAAGGAACUAGGCAAAAUGGUGCCGUAACUUCGGGAGAAGGCACGCUGGCGUUAGGUGAAAGGACUAGCUCCUAGAGCUGAAGCCAGUCGCAGAUACCAGCUGGCUGCAACUGUUUAAUAAAAACACAGCACUGUGCAAACACGAAAGUGGACGUAUACGGUGUGACGCCUGCCCGGUGCUGGAAGGUUAAUUGAUGGGGUCAGCCGCAAGGCGAAGCUCUUGAUCGAAGCCCCAGUAAACGGCGGCCGUAACUAUAACGGUCCUAAGGUAGCGAAAUUCCUUGUCGGGUAAGUUCCGACCUGCACGAAUGGCGUAAUGAUGGCCAGGCUGUCUCCACCCGAGACUCAGUGAAAUUGAACUCGCUGUGAAGAUGCAGUGUACCCGCGGCAAGACGGAAAGACCCCGUGAACCUUUACUAUAGCUUGACACUGAACAUUGAGCCUUGAUGUGUAGGAUAGGUGGGAGGCCUUGAAGUGUGGACGCCAGUCUGCAUGGAGCCAACCUUGAAAUACCACCCUUUAAUGUUUGAUGUUCUAACUCGGCCCCAUGAUCUGGGGUGAGGACAGUGUCUGGUGGGUAGUUUGACUGGGGCGGUCUCCUCCCAAAGAGUAACGGAGGAGCACGAAGGUUAGCUAAUCACGGUCGGACAUCGUGAGGUUAGUGCAAAGGCAUAAGCUAGCUUGACUGCGAGAGUGACGGCUCGAGCAGGUACGAAAGUAGGUCUUAGUGAUCCGGUGGUUCUGAAUGGAAGGGCCAUCGCUCAACGGAUAAAAGGUACUCCGGGGAUAACAGGCUGAUACCGCCCAAGAGUUCAUAUCGACGGCGGUGUUUGGCACCUCGAUGUCGGCUCAUCACAUCCUGGGGCUGAAGUAGGUCCCAAGGGUAUGGCUGUUCGCCAUUUAAAGUGGUACGCGAGCUGGGUUUAGAACGUCGUGAGACAGUUCGGUCCCUAUCUGCCGUGGGCGUUGGAAGAUUGAGAGGGGCUGCUCCUAGUACGAGAGGACCGGAGUGGACGAAUCACUGGUGUUCGGGUUGUCAUGCCAAUGGCAUUGCCCGGUAGCUAAAUUCGGAAGAGAUAACCGCUGAAAGCAUCUAAGCGGGAAACUUGCCUCGAGAUGAGUCUUCCCUGGGGCUUAAAGCCCCCUGAAGGAACGUUAAAGACUAUGACGUUGAUAGGCUGGGUGUGUAAGUGCAGCGAUGUAUUGAGCUAACCAGUACUAAUGAUCCGUGAGGCUUAACCUUACAACACCGAAGGUGUUU